GCUUCCUCUGUUCUUUAUUCUGUCUACAAAUACCCUUCCGCCCUCUUGCUUUCUAUCGGCUGUGUGGCUUCGGUUUCUCUUCCGAAGGGACAAGCAGCAACCACUCCGAUUCCCAAAUCAUACUCUGAAUCGCUUCUUGAACCUUCUCAACAUGGAACGCAUCGUUGGCCGCAAGUACAAGCUCGGCCGCAAGAUCGGAAGUGGAUCCUUCGGCGAAAUCUACCUCGCGACGCAUAUUGACACCUUCGAGAUCGUCGCCGUCAAGAUCGAGAAUAGAAAAACGAAGCAUCCGCAACUUCUUUACGAGGCAAAGCUCUACAAUAUUCUUCAAGGAGGAAGUGGAAUUCCGAACAUAAAAUGGUCUGGCAUAGACGGGGAGGAAAAUGUGCUUGUUCUUGACUUGCUUGGGCCGAGUCUUGAAGAUCUUUUUGUGUAUUGUGGAAGGAAGUUUUCAUUGAAGACAGUGUUAAUGUUGGCUGAUCAAAUGAUCACUAGGAUAGAAUAUGUGCAUUCUAAAGGAUUUCUGCAUAGGGAUAUUAAACCCGAUAACUUUCUCAUGGGACUUGGUCGGAAGGCCAACCAGGUUUACAUAAUUGAUUUUGGGCUUGCAAAACGAUACCGGGAAUCGGGUACCAAUCGCCACAUCCCUUACAGGGAGAACAAAAACUUAACCGGCACAGCCCGAUAUGCAAGUUGUAAUACUCAUCUUGGGAUUGAGCAAAGUCGACGGGAUGAUUUGGAAUCUCUAGGAUAUGUACUUUUGUAUUACCUCAGAGGAAGCCUUCCUUGGCAAGGUCUAAAGGCUGCUACGAAGAAACAAAAGUAUGAUAAAAUAUGUCAGAAGAAAGUUUCAACUCCUAUUGAGGUACUUUGCAAAACUCAUCCCGUAGAGUUUGCUUCGUACUUCCAUUACUGCCACUCUUUGACAUUUGAUCAGCGACCUGAUUAUGGAUUCUUAAAGCGCCUAUUUCGGGACCUAUUUACUCGAGAAGGCUAUGAAUUUGAUUACGUUUUUGAUUGGACCAUUUUAAAGUAUCAGCAAUCUCAAAAGAGUGCAGUGCUCCCUCCACUAUCUCCAGUUCCAGGAGCAAGUAACAGUCGAGCAAUUCCAAUGAAUAUUGACCAUCAUCAAGGGCAUGUUAUGGAGCGGAACAGAGCAGGCGAUGCUGCCGGUUCUGGUGUUAAAAUCCAGUUUAAAUCACCAGGGGGUAAAAAUGUGAGCUAUGAGAAUCCACUUGACAAAAAUAUUUAUGGAGAAGCAGAUAUACCCGCUGCUUCAUACUCUCCUGCUAGUACUUCUAUAAGGAACUCCUUGAAGCUAUCUUUUUCUGCUGAAGCUUCCAACCCUGGACACGGGCAAGGCAGUAAAAUUGGCCCUUCAAGUAGCUGGAUGUCAUCUCUGCAGCACACGUCUUCUGCUAAAUGAAUGCCAAAUAUGUAUGAAGCUUUAAAGAAGAUUCUAUACAUCUUUUCUCAAGUGUUUGGUCAACAAUAUUGAAGUGCAUUCGUGGAGACUGCAGAUGUGCUAGAAAAUCGACAGAUUGCGUAGCUCCUAUUUUGAGGCCAUUUAUUUUGCUUCUUUCCUGAGGUGACUACAAAUGAUUGUGCGGUUAUCGAAAGUGUAAGUUAUUCUGAUACUGAAGCAAACAUUAUGGCUGAAGGAUCACUGAAAUAAUGAUCUCUUUUGGGUUAGCAAAGGUCUUCUUUUUCCAAUCAAUAUUGUCUGAAGGAUGAAAUUUGGCAGACUCCAUGAUGCUGCUACUUCUGAUAAAUAAUUCAGCAUAACCACACGCAGAAACUAGGAGACAAGACUACCUAGUACUGGUGCUUCAAUUUAAGACUCUUGAAUCGUCUUGCUGGCCCAAAUGUUUGCUAACUUCAAUUCAAAGCUCCCAAGACACCAUAUUCUUGUAUAUAUGAUACAAGUUAUUAUAUGAUCCUCUUGUGUUCUGAAACUUGUGGAAAGGUUUGUUUGGUGGGCUUUGAUUGUGAUCAAGUUUAAAAGAGGGAAGAUUUGCAUUGAAUUUCCAUUGCUUUAGGACUAGGAGAGCUUGGUAACUUGCUUGAAACUAGAGUUGCUUGUAAUUUGAAUGUUAGUUGGUGAAGGUCUAUUGAGGAACAUAUAUAUCUUUUUUCUUUGAUCCUAUCCAUCAUUUCUGCAAGGUGCCAAAUUAAUUUUUUUAAUCAAUGGACAUAACCUAUUUCCAUUAUUUUUGGUACUUGUGCGUACGAGUCUCCCAACAAAAAUCUCUGCAAAGGGGCCAUGUAUCUGAAGGAACAGCUAAUUUUCAUAGCCUAAACAAGAUUUGGUUUCAAUUGAACUGAAUUCCAUUCUUAACUAGAUGACAUUUGGGGUUUCCAUUGAUAAGUAAAGACUACUUGGAACUUCUAUGACCCCUCUCCCCCUUUGUUCUAGUUCAGUCUAAAUGCUUCUUUCUGUUCCUGAAUAAUUUGUGUUCCUUGAUUUAGCCAUAGACCAACUGUGUCAGAUAAAGUGCAUUCAUGUGGUGAAUGGAAACUAUGAACUUGCAGAUUUCAUAUGCAAGCUUAUUCUCUAUACUAAAUCUUCGUAAUUCAAGAUCUCCAUCUUGUGGUACAAGCAACGAACAAAAUUAUGUUGAAAUAUAAAAUAAUAUUUUGCAGGGAUUGUGAAGAUUAUUCCCAGGCACCAUCCAUUUCCGUGAGGUUGAGUAAAUGGAAAUUGUGAACACAGGGAAGCAGCACCCUGACGUGCACUCAGAAUUUGAUGAGUCGAUUGCAUUGCUGGAAUGCUAUCAAAGUACCAGUAGCAUUUACCUUGAGUAAAGUUACCUAUGUAUGCGACUGUAGGCAAAUGUAUUCAAAUGAUUAUAAUGUAGUUUAUAAUCCGAAAUGUAUGCUUAAAGAUUUGUGCUGUGUAUGAUAAAGCAUUUUUCGGCCCCUCUUAAUAUUUCA